rnacentral:lncRNA from 1 species
AUUCUUCUUUCAUUUUUAUUCAAAACUGGCUCAUCACUUACAAACUAGCUAGUCAACCGUUUAGUCCCCACCAAAAUGGCAAAAUGCAAUAGCUAAGUUUACUGUGUCAAAAAUCCAAGAAACCAGUAUUCCCACUUGGAACGUCUGUAAUUUGGUGAGAAACAUCCUGAUUGAUUCUACUACAUUUGUAAAUUAUACACACGACACGACAGACAGAUAGGAUGGUGUCUCAGAGGAUAGAGAAUGGGAAUUUCGUAACUACUAUGCGCUUUCUUUUUAUCGUACUUCUUUUACUGUUCAAAAACGAUGACUGUUGGCUGUUAGUCAACUCUAUUCCCCUCUUCUACCACUUUAUUAUAUACAAUUAUUAGUUAUUAUAUCCCCUUUUUCCUCCUCCACACCUCCAUGGAUCAGAAGCUGAAGAACCCAUAAUUCAAGAUUUAUGGAAUUUUUAGAAUUAUUGAAUUUGGGUUUGGAUUUUUGUGGGGAUUCUUGAAAAUAUUAUUUUGAUGCGAGAUUAAAAUUUGAAAGAUUUCAACUAGGUAAUGAUUUUAAGUUUCUUGGUCUCACCUUUUCGAUGAUUUUUUUAUUUUUUAUUUUAAAGUUAGAUUGGG